GACGAACGCUGGCGGCGUGCCUAAUACAUGCAAGUUGAGCGAUGAAGAUUGGUGCUUGCACCAAUUUGAAGAGCAGCGAACGGGUGAGUAACGCGUGGGGAAUCUGCCUUUGAGCGGGGGACAACAUUUGGAAACGAAUGCUAAUACCGCAUAAUAACUUUAAACAUAAGUUUUAAGUUUGAAAGAUGCAAUUGCAUCACUCAAAGAUGAUCCCGCGUUGUAUUAGCUAGUUGGUGAGGUAAAGGCUCACCAAGGCGAUGAUACAUAGCCGACCUGAGAGGGUGAUCGGCCACAUUGGGACUGAGGCACGGCCCAAACUCCUACGGGAGGCAGCAGUAGGGAAUCUUCGGCAAUGGACGAAAGUCUGACCGAGCAACGCCGCGUGAGUGAAGAAGGUUUUCGGAUCGUAAAACUCUGUUGGUAGAGAAGAACGUUGGUGAGAGUGGAAAGCUCAUCAAGUGACGGUAACUACCCAGAAAGGGACGGCUAACUACGU
rnacentral:rRNA from 1 species